rnacentral:rRNA from 1 species
AUUGAACGCUGGCGGCAUGCUUUACACAUGCAAGUCGAACGGUAACAGGCCGCAAGGUGCUGACGAGUGGCGAACGGGUGAGUAAUGCAUCGGAACGUGCCCAAUCGUGGGGGAUAACGCAGCGAAAGCUGCGCUAAUACCGCAUACGAUCUCUGGAUGAAAGCGGGGGACCGAAAGGCCUCGCGCGAUUGGAGCGGCCGAUGCCAGAUUAGGUAGUUGGUGGGGUAAAGGCCCACCAAGCCAACGAUCUGUAGCUGGUCUGAGAGGACGACCAGCCACACUGGGACUGAGACACGGCCCAGACUCCUACGGGAGGCAGCAGUGGGGAAUUUUGGACAAUGCGCGCAAGCCUGAUCCAGCAAGGCCGCGUGCAGGAAGAAGGCCUUCGGGUUGUAAACUACUUUUGUACGGAACGAAACGGUCCGGGCUAAUACCCUGGGCUAAUGACGGCACCGUAAGAAUAAGCACCGGCUAACUACGUGCCAGCAGCCGCGGUAAAAC